rnacentral:tRNA from 1 species
GGGGUUGUGGCUCAUUGGUAGAGCACUUGCUUUGCAUGUGUGAGGCACUGAGUUCAAUCCUUAGCACCA